rnacentral:rRNA from 1 species
CACACGUGUUACAAUGGCAGGUACAGAGGGGUGCUACCGGGUGACCGGAUGCCGAUCUCGAAAACCUGUCCCAGUUCGGACUGGAGUCUGCAACCCGACUCCACGAAGUUGGAUUCGCUAGUAAUCGCGCAUCAGCCAUGGCGCGGUGAAUACGUUCCCGGGCCUUGUACACACCGCCCGUCAAGCCAUGGGAGCCGGGGGCGCCUGAAGUCCGGGACCGCGAGGACCGGCCUAGGGCGAAACUGGUAACUGGGGCUAAGUCGUAACAAGGUAAC